rnacentral:lncRNA from 10 species
CACAACUACAGUGGCCAAUGAAACGCACUUGGAAGUCACUUGGGUUUCUGGCAGGACUCACUGAAAGCUGAUCUGAUCCUUUUGUCUUCUGCCCUGCCCCUUCUUCCUUUCUGAAAGGCAAGUGUGGCCCUGCAGGUGGCCCAUACUUCUUGCAACUACAGGCAACUGAAGGCAGCCAGUCAAAAUGUAGCAUCCUCCACAAGAAGAGGCUCAGGCUAUGCAACAAAAAGCUAUCACUUCAAGGAACCAACGAGUGAAAACAGGUUGACAAUUCAUUUUAUCACAUUCAAAGACGGAGAAACAGUAAAGCUCGGAGGAACCUAUUGAGUUCUGCCACCGCACGGAAGGUAUCAUCCCAUCCUCAAGCUUGGGCACGCUGACCACCUAGGAAAGCAGCAAGCUGGGCAGACUCCAACCUCAGGCAGAGGUAAAUAAACACAGCCAUUUUUCUUCUUGCUUUAAAACAUCCAAGGAAAAAAUUCUAACUAAAGUUAUUUUUAAACACAUCAUGGCGGAAAAGCCCUUACCCCAUCAGACACACAGAGCCAGGGCUCUGCUGGGAGCACAUAGGGGAUAUGGGAGAGAGUUUCCUUGGUAGUUCAUAGUGUUCACCAGUGAAAAUGCGACUGCCUCAAACAGACAUGGCAUUUUGUCAUGUUCAGAUCAAAACUGGAGAUGCUGGAAUUAGAAGGGGAUUUGGGAUCUUUUUGUCCAGUACUCUGGGUUUGCCUACCUAAGUUGUUAAUGAGUUUUAAACCAAGGUCUUCGAUCCGGGGCUCUCAUCACUACACUAGACUAUGAAGACUUAUAGCAUGAAACUUAACACAUAACCACUGCACUGCUGUCCUAGGUUUUGGACCAUCUUCUUCACCUGUUUUGUAGGACAGUACUCUCCAUUGCUUUAUGGAAGGCAUACUAGAAGAGCUUCUAGGUCAUUACAUGAGCAUGGGGAGUUUGUUUGGAGUGUGAAAAGAGUGUGAAAAGAUUCAGGGCCUGAAUCUUAGCCCUGACUCUGCCACUAGCAAACAAUAAGAUCUCAGAGAUUCUACUCGCUAGGCUUGUACUUCCUGUUGGCAACAUGAGAGCAACAGACUCAGUGCUCUCCAAGGCUUUUAAUUCAACAAACUGCUUAUUAAGUAACUAAUCCAUGCGUGAUGUCUUGAAAGCUUUUGUGUCUCCAAGGGCUCACAAUUUAUUGGCUAUAAAAACAAUCCUCAAACUUUGGCAUGUAUAUGAACCAAUUAGGAAUUUUUUUUUUUUUUUUUUUUUUUUUUUAGCAGAUUCCUGACUCCCACUUUCACAGAUCAUGGUUUGGCAAGUGUGUUGUAGUGGACCCCAGAAAUCUGCUAUUUUCUGAGCAUUCACAUUGUUCUGAACCAGUCAGCCUUUGGACCACACCAAAAAACACUACACACGGUGGCUCACACCUGUAAUCCCAGCACUUUGGGAGGAUUGCUUGAGGCCAAGAGUUCAAGACUAGCCUGGGCAACAUAGCAAGACAUGUCUUUAUAAAAAAUAAAUAAAUAAAAUUAUCCAGGUGUGGUAGCACACACCUGUAGUCCCAGCUACUCAGGAGGCUGAGAUGGGCAGAUGGUUUGAGCCCAGGAGUUUGAGGCUGGAGUAAGCUAUGAUCACGCCACUGUACUCUAGCCUGGGUGACAGAGGGAGACCCUGUCUCAAAAACAAAACAAAACAAAACAAACAAAACACUACCCCUACAAACAAGGCAAAUUAGAUAACCACUGCCAAUAUGCUCAUAAACAGAUAGAUGAGCCCUUCCUUGAAGGAAUUUCCUGUGUUGCAAAAUAAUAAUAAUUUUUAAAAUAUAGCAAUAGCAGCUGACCUUUACCAAGCAUCAACUAUGUGCUAGGCAUUGUUCUAAGGGCUUUAUAUAUAGUAAAAACAUAUACUAACUCAUUGAAUCCUCUACAAAAGCAGUGUAAUAAGAACUAUAAGCUAAUAAACUUUCUCUAGAAAAGGGAAAGUGACUUCCAGGGAGACACGCUGGAUUUGAGAAUAGUCAAAACGGUUGAACUCAAGAGAGUAGAACAAUGAUGUGGAUCGAUUAAAGAAAAAGAUCUGAAAACGUUUAUGCUAAUAUCUGGUGGAUCGAGACAUACACCUUCUUAGAGGAAGUAUGUGGCAAUUAACACCUAACAGAAAGCCAAGAUGUUGAAUAUCUGAAACCAAAGGAACAUAAACUCAACUAUUCUUUAUUUCAACAAGUCUUUGAGUCUACUCUUUAUACAAAUGUAUGAGAGAAACAAAUAUGAAAAAAUGUGUAACAGUAGCACUGUUUAUGGGAUAUUUUCUAUAUUCUGGGCAGUUUCUGUAAAAUUUUAUUUUCCUGUCAGAACUACCCUACAAAGUAAAUAUAACAGUACUAGAAAUAGCCCCUAACACUUAUUGAUCAUAGCAUUGAGAAUGUAGAAAAAGAUAAAUGUGAAAGAGGGCCCAGGCGAGAGUCCUAAGAGUGUCCAAAUUUAAGAAUUAAGGUACAGGAGAUCUGCAAUGGAGACAAAACCAAAAGCAAGUGGUGGGGUAGAAAGGUAACCAAGAUAAAAUAUGGUAUGUUUGAUGCCAAAAGGGAAAAAAUUGAAGGCAGAGAAGGAUUGACUAUGAUGAAUGCUACUGAGAGAUUGGUGAAAGAGGACUGGAAAAGUAGCCGUUGGCUUAGGGAACACAGGGGUACCCCAUAACCUCAUCAGGAGCAGGAAUCAAGUACGGAGGGUCUCAGUCAGACCAAAGUGGGUUAAAGGGUGAAGAAGAAAUUACAAGUGCCCAAGGCAAGUGCAAAUGUCUCUCCAAGAAAGGGAGAAGAAGAGAGGUUGGCAGAGGGCCUGGAGUCCUGAAUAGAUUAUUUUUUAAUGGGCGACACAAAAGCAUUGUUGGUACUUAAUGGGAACAGUUUCAUAGGGCAGAUUGGAGAGAAGAUAAAUGGAAGAGCAAUCCUUGAGAAAUUAAGAGGGUAUGGGAUACAGAGUAUUCAGGAAGGGGCUAGCCUUUGUAAAGAGGGAGAAGACCGAGAUGACUGGGCCCAGGAUUUUUAGCAGUUGGAUGACAAGACUGGAGCUUUUGUAACUCAAAAUGAAAAGCUACAUAGCAUGAGUUACUAAAAAAUUGCUCUGAAGAAACAAUCUGAGAAAGUAAAGGCAGAGUCAUGGCCCAGUCAAGUGCUUAUUAUCUAGAAAAUUGAAAGUGGCCCGUAUAUCGGUAAAAGUCUCCCCAAAUAAUCUACUCUUGCUUAAAAAGGUGAAAGGGGUCUUUGGAAAUAGAAAGCAAAGGAGAAAAGGAAUAUUAAUAGAGAGCUCCAUAUGUGAAGGGAAAGCAAAAUAAUUCAGUUUUCUGAUUCUCUGGGACCAAAUGGGUUUGAAUAAGAAGCUGUGGCUUAUGCUCAGGCAGGAAUGACAGCCAUGAUGGGAACAGCCCACAGAAGGGAACACAGAUGGCAUUUUGAAGAAAAUAGGGACUGAGAGCACAACGUGGUGAAAGAGACGGCGAUGGAGAAGUAAAUCAGAAAACUCAGAACAAUUUCAACAGAAUGCCAGGAGGCAGAGCAUUACACAUUCUUAAGAAUGACGCGCAAAGACCAAUUAUUGAUAAGAAGAGUCACUGCCAACUACAUCGGUAAGAAGUCAGGAAUGAGAGGAAGAGUAUCAUUCACGCAUCAGUUACACAAAUCAGAGGUGUUUCCACAAACACAACUUCUAUGCUUAGACACUAAGCGUUCUUCACACAUGGGGAAAACUGACUAAAAAUAAUGGCUGGGGAAUGGGCUGUUCAACUUAAUAGUAAACUGGCAGUGAUUGGAUAAGAAUGUGUAAUAUUAUAGCUAAAGUUUAAUGACAAAAAAAGCCCAAAUCCACACAUUUCCCAAUUGCAGAAUGACAUUAUCACAUCCAAACAGUCUUCUUGAAAGGGAAUGCCUUCACUCUACAUGCCACUUCUCAAGAUGUACCUUUUAUUUGUAAGGAUCCACACUCUAAAGUAUCAUCUUGUUAUAUAAACUCAUAUUUCUACACAGAUUGAUUUCUGCCUUCACAAAGAUUGCUCAGAUUUUCACUAGUGACUGACAGUUUCUCAAGUCAGAUCCAUUUCCAAUCUGAAAACAAACAUUAAUUUAAAACAAAACGGCAGUCUCCAUAUGCAGUAUCCUUUGCCUUAGUAUUACACAGAGGGCACAGAGUGCUACAUCCAUGAAGAUGGGAGUGAGAAAAGGCGCCAAUCCCACUUCUCUCCGGAGAAAGCAAAAAUGUUUCAAAGGGACUUGCACUUUGAAAUAGCUCUACAAUUCGUGAAGAUCCAUUUUCAAACUCACAGGGGAAAAGUUUAAAAAGGCAAGGCUUCACUGAGGCUUCUAGGUGGUGGCAUUACCUGGUACCUGGACCCAAAGAAUCUCCAAGGAAAACUAUAAUGGUUAUGAAAAACCUUGACUUUAUGCUCUUUAUGGACACUUUUCACCUGCCUAAGUGCAGAGAUCUGAUGUUUUGCACAGAGAAUCUAUGGGAAGUGCCAGGAGCUCAGGCUGUAGGGCAGCACUCUGUGGCAUGAAGGUUCCUCACACUCAGUAACAGACUGUUACUGGCCCAAAUAGGGACCACCUGACACUAUGCUCACAUAGUUGAUUUUCUGAGUUCAGAGAACUCUCUUGAAAUGGGAAAACUAGGUGACAACUGUCCUCUGACUGUGAGAACUGUCCUCUGACCAUGAGCACAUGGAGCAAGCACCAUGUUUACUGAUUCUUAACAAAGUUUCUCUUCUUUUGUUGCUAUCUCAGCAGGGGUUCUCCUGGAUUAACCAGAGACCGCUAGGUUGUAGAGUUUAUCCUUAACAACACUUUCAAAAAUUAAUAGCAGGUAAUAGAGGAAAAUAGAAUAUUUUGUCUCAGUAUAAUUUUUUAAAAUGUUGAGUCUGUCACACAUAACAAUAAAGACACAAUUAGUGUGACUGAUUAUUAAUUUUCUCUAAGUACUGAAGGAGAUGAAUUUUUUCCAUGUUACAGAAACCUAUUACACAGCAUAAAAUAGGGAAUACGAUCUAGGAGGCAUCCUAAAAUCGAUCCCAAUUUCUUUCUAAUACGUUGGUGCACAUCUUGAUACUCGGUGUCAUAGUGACAUCAAUGGGGGAGAGGAGGGCACACAGAGUAGCUGGAAAGAUAAGGAAAGAACUAAAAGGAAAAAGGCAUGAAAUCCAACUGAAUUGGUACUAAAUUCAACACGAAAAAGUAGAGAGUAAGCACCAUUAGAGCAAACAUUUUAUUUUACAGACAAAUGCUGUUUAUAGUUGGAUACUUCAUUACACAAUGCCAGUAUUUUAACAUCUAAUAUCUUUUAUUUAAAAAUAUUAAUAGAAGUGUAAAAUGCCUGAGCCAGAAGGGGAGCCCUUUCUCUAAAUUGAGUAAUGAUUAUCUCUUCCCAAGUUUAAAGUUUUUAAAUCUUCAUAAUUUCAGAGAAAUGCAGAAACUAAAGAGGAUUCUGUAGAAGGGUAACAGACAACUAAAGAGAUGGAAAGUGGGUACUUGAGUUAAGCACUAAGUGGCCUUGAAAAGACAAGACUGAGAGGCACCUCAACAACUGUGUUCUAGAUUGCUUAGAGCUCUUCCCAAAGGAAUCAUGGCAAACCAUGCUCCAUUUUCCUCACAGUGAGAGAGAGACGCACGGAAGAUAGUUAUAAACAGAUAAUUUAUAAAUGGAAAUAUUUCUCGAAUGUAGAAUGAGUGAGAAAAUUGCCUUUAAUCUGGCCAAAAUCUAUUUCUUUAAAAUUUCAGAUUAAUAAAAAUAGUGUUAAAUUAAAUUUAGCCUAAAGCUGCCUCCUUACAUAUUUUAAGUUUACCCUAAAAGUUUCUCUUCAAAUAAUGAACUGUAACAUAACUGGAUAUGUAAACAGGCUGUAAAUUACUCCUGUAGUGUAACUGAGCCUCAGCCAAUCACAGUGGCUGAGUUUCAGCCAAUCACAGGUAGCCAGCUAUUCAAACCGUGUUCAAAUAAGGCAAAUGCCUCACUGUAACCAAUCUGGCUGUUCUGCACCUCACUUCUGUUUUCUGUACAUCACUUUCCCUUUUUCUUUCCAUAAAUGUUAUCUGACCAUGUGGCAGCCCUGGAGUCACUCUGAACCCAUUCUGGUUCUGGAGGCUUCCUGAUUUGCCAACUGAUCUUUGCUCAAUUAAACUCUACUAAAUUUAGUCUAUCUAAAAUCUUUCUUUUAACAAUUGUAACUGGCUUUCUUAUACCUGUCAAAUUUCAACUACAAAUAUUCAUUCAAUAACCCUCCCUGCUCAAUAAAUAAUUUAAAAUUAAAAAUGAUCACACAUGUGGAGCAACAGGCACUCUAUACACUGCUGGUGAGAGUGUAAAUUGGUACCACCUUUGGAAAUCUGUUUGGUAUUAUACACAGAAGCUGAAGAGGUACAUACUCUUCAACUUAGCAAUCAUAUUCCUGGUAUAUACCCAACAGAAAUAUGUAAUUAUAUUUACCAAAAGACAUGUACCAGAAUGUUCACAGCAACACUAUUUGUAAUAACCAAACCCUCAAAAAGUUUAAAUGUCAAUGAACAAUAGAAUAAAAUAUAGCGGUAUGUUUUUAUGAUAGAAUCCUAUUCAGCAAUGAGAAUGACAAACUAUAGCUACAUGCAACAAUAUGGAUAAAUAAAUCUCACAAACAAUAGCGAGAGGGAAAAAAAUCAAGCACUAAUAGUACAUAUUCUAGGAUUCUAUUUAUAUAAAGUUAUUAAAUAGGCAAAUCUAAACUGUGGUGCUAAAGAUCAAGAUAACGGUUAUCCUCUGUCAAUAAUUACCAUGUUAUCUUUAUCUUCUAGUACACAUUGAGCUUCUCUAGACACAAAACUAUUUAAAAAAUUUUUUUAAAGUUGUAUUUUAAGUUCUGGGGUACAUGUGCAGAAUGUGCAGUUUUGUUAUGUAGGUACACGCAUGCCAUGGUGGUUUGCUGCACCCAUCAACCCGUCGCCUACAUUAGGUAUUUCUCCCAAUGCUAUCCCUCCCCCAGUCCCCUUCCCGACAGGCCCCCCGUGUGUAAUGUUCCCCUCCCUGUGUCCAUGUGUUCUCACUGUUCAACUCCCAUUUAUGAGUGAGAGCAUGCGGUUUUGGUUUUCUGUUCUUGUGUUAGCUUGCUAACAAUGAUGGUUUCCAGCUUCAUCCACGUCCCUGCAAAGGAUAUGAACUCAUCCUUUUUUAUGGCUGCAUAGUAUUCCAUGGUGUAUAUGUGCCACAUUUUCUUUAUCCAGUCUAUCAUGGAUGGACAUUUGGGUUGGUUCCAAGUCUUUGCUAUUGUGAAUAGUGCUGCAAUAAACAUACGUGUGCAUGUGUCUUUAUAGUAGAAUUAUUUAUAACCGUUUGGGUAUAUACCCAGUAAUGGGAUUGCUGGGUCAAAUGGUAUUUCUAGUUCUAGAUCCUUAAGGAAUUGCCACACUGUCUUCCACAAUGGUUGGACUAAUUAACACUCCCACCAACAGUGUAAAAGCGUUCCUAUUUCUCCACAUCCUCUCCGGACUUUUUAAUGAGCGUCAUUCUAACUGGCAAGAGAUGGCAUCUCAUUGUGGUUUUGAUUUGCAUUUCUCUAAUGACCAGUGAUGAUGAGCUUUUUUUCAUGUUUGUUGGCAGCAUAAAUGUCUUCUUUUGAGAAAUGUCUGUUCAUGUCCUUUGCCCACUUUUUGAUGGGGUUGAUACACAACUUCUAAAGUGCAUGUUUACUUGAAAAAUAUAUUCUCUUACAUAGCCCUGAAUGCCAAGCAACUCUAUUAUAUUACAUGGCUUUACUGUAUAAUUUUUGGUCAUUCUUCAUUUAAAAAAUUUCUUAUGUGAUGGAAAAAUGUCAAGUUACAUAAUUAUAUAUUUAUAUUUCUUUUUGUACAAUAGCCAAAC